GAUGAACGCUGGCGGCGUGCCUAAUACAUGCAAGUCGAGCGAACAGACGAGGAGCUUGCUCCUCUGACGUUAGCGGCGGACGGGUGAGUAACACGUGGAUAACCUACCUAUAAGACUGGGAUAACUUCGGGAAACCGGAGCUAAUACCGGAUAACAUGUUGAACCGCAUGGUUCAACAGUGAAAUACGGUCUUGCUGUCACUUAUAGAUGGAUCCGCGCCGCAUUAGCUAGUUGGUAAGGUAACGGCUUACCAAGGCAACGCUGCGUAGCCGACCUGAGAGGGUGAUCGGCCACACUGGAACUGAGACACGGUCCAGACUCCUACGGGAGGCAGCAGUAGGGAAUCUUCCGCAAUGGGCGAAAGCCUGACGGAGCAACGCCGCGUGAGUGAAGAAGGUCUUCGGAUCGUAAAACUCUGUUAUUAGGGAAGAACAAAUGUGUAAGUAACUAUGCACGUCUUGACGGUACCUAAUCAGAAAGCCACGGCUAACUACGUG
rnacentral:rRNA from 1 species